CAUUUCUCUUCCAGUGGCCCUAUAGGACCGCUGCCCAUUGGGCCCAGAAGCUCCUUCCCCUUUCAUCUUCCUGCCAGCCCUGAAGAUUUCACUUUCACUUCCCAGCCAUCUGCUCAGGAGGAGUGGCUUCUGGCCGACCCAGCGCCUGUUUGGUGAGGAAAUGCUGACCUAGCCUGCCCUGGCUUUUCUUCACCACUUAAAUCAGGAGCCAAGACUUCUCUGCUGGGGCCUCAAGUUCCUUGUCCAUAAUGAGUCCGGGUUCUGAGGAUCAGCAGCAUCUCCGUGCUGCCACCCUGUGAUAUGCCUUCUGACUGACCACCAGGAAUAAUUUUAGCCAUCCAGGAACAUUUAAGCAAGAAGAGCUCCAGGAGUUAGGACAGGAAGAAGCCAGGGGAGAUGUACUAAGGCUUUAAAAAUCCUGAACAUACAAGAUGAGGUGUCCUGUUCCAUCUGCCUGAAGCUUUUGACAGAAUCCCUGACUCUAGACUGUGGCCACAGCUUCUGUCAAGCCUGCAUCACUGUGGACACCAAGGAGUCAGAGAUCAGCCCAGGAGAGGAAAGCAGCUGUCCUGUGUGUGGUAUCAGAUACUCACUUGGAAACCUAGGUCCUGAUCAGCAUCUGGUCAACAUAAUGGAGAGAAUCAGAGAGUUCAAGUUGAACCCAGAGAAGGAGCUGAAGAGAAACCUCUGUGUGCACCAUGAAGAGAAACUCCUGCUCUUCUGUAAGGAGGAUAGGAAGGUCAUUUGUUGGCUUUGUGAGCGGUCUCAGGAGCACCGUGGUCACCACACAUACCUCGUGGAGGAAGUAGUCAAGGAAUGUCAGGAGAAGCUUCAGGCAGCUCUGGAGAGGCUAAGGAAGGAGCAGCAGAAAGCUGAGAAGUUGGAAGCUGACAUCAGAGAAGAGAGGACUUCCUGGAAGUACCAGAUACAGACUGAGAGACAAAGGAUAUGGACGGAAUUCAAUCAGCUUAGAAGCAUCCUGGACAGUGAAGAGCAGAGAGAACUGCAAAAAUUGGAAGAAGAGGAGAAGAGGAUACUGGAUAGCUUGGCUGAGGCUGAGGCUGAGCUGGCUCAGCAGAACCAGUUGGUGAAAGAACUCAUCUCAGAUCUGGAGCAUCGCCGUACAUGGUCAACAGUGGACCUGCUGCAGGACAUGAGUGGAAUCAUGAAAUGGAGUGAGAUCUGGACACUGAAGAAGCCAAAAACUGUUUCCAAAAGACUGAAGAGUGUAUUCCACGCUCCAGAUCUGAGCACAAUGCUGCGCAUGUGUAGAGAGCUAACACAUGUCCAGUGCUACUGGGUGGACAUCACACUGAAUCCAAUCAACUUAAAUUUAAACCUUGUCCUUUCAGAAGAUCAGAGACAAGUGAUGUCUGUGCCAAUUUGGCCUGUUAAGUAUACUAAUUAUGGUAUCUUGGGCUCCCAAUAUUUCUCUUCAGGGAAACACUACUGGGAAAUAGAUGUGUCCAAGAAGACUGCCUGGAUUCUGGGGGUAUACUGUAGAAAACGUUUCUGUAAUAUAAAGUUUGGUGUUAGACAAGGCACAGUUCAUCAGAAUGUUUACUCCAGAUACAGACCUCAAUGUGGCUACUGGGUUAUUGGGUUACAGAAUAAAUUUGAGUAUAAGGCCUUUGAGGAGUCUUCUACAUCUCAUCCCAUGGUCUUGACUAUUUCCAUGGCUGUUCCUCCCCAUCGUGUUGGGGUUUUCCUAGACUAUGAUGCAGGCAUUGUCUCAUUUUUCAAUGUCACAAACCAUGGGUCACUCAUCUACAAAUUUUCUAACUGUUGCUUUUCUCAGAUUGCUUAUCCAUACUUCAAUCCUUGGAACUGUCCAGGCCCCAUCAUCCUGUGUCCACCAUGUUCCUGAACCUUCUUAGCCCCUACCCACUUCUGUGUAAAGCCUCUUGUCCUGGGGCUCAUCUACACCUGAGCUUACCUGCACCCUUCCGAACGCCUCGUCCUUCCUUUCUCCUUUUAUUAUAGAAUGUUUUUGUGCAAUGCUUUUCUGCAUGUAUUGAAAUGAACAUGCAACUUUUACCCUUUUGUUUCUUAUUUAAUUCAACUACCUUUAUAGUUUUGUUAUUAUUGUAUUUUAGUAGUUAUUCUGUGGUUUAUGCCUAUGUUGUUAGUACCUUGAUUUUUUUUCACAGAUUAUUGAGGUUCUGUUCAUCAUUUUCAUAUUGGAUAAUUUACAUUAAUCUACUUUUAAGUUCACUUAGUCUUUCGUAAUCCUGAAUUUCUCUUAAGCCAGUCCUAGAUCAUUUUUUUGAGUGAUUGCAGCUCUUAGUUUUAGUAUUUCAAUUAACAAAACUAUUUUUGUUUUUUGACAUUUCCUAUUUGCUCAUUAUUAUAAGCAUAUUUUCUUUCAUAGCCUUUACCCUAGAUGUGAGAGCUGCUGCAAAGUCCUUGUCUUCCUUGUUGUGAGUCCUUAUUGUAAAUAUGACUUCUGCAUUAUCUUGGAAUUGAUCUCCAUUGAUUGCCUUUGUUCUUGAGUAUGGACCAUGUUCGUUUCUUUGUAUGUUGAACAAUUUUAACAUGUAUCUAAAAUUCCCCAGGGGGAAUUGUGAAUGAGAUGUAAAGAUUCUGGAUUCUGUUUAUUUUUCUGAAGAAUAUUUUUUUUCAGGCAUUUGGUUAAACUCAAAUUUGAAAUUGUCCCCUGAAUUUUGCAGAAGCUGAAAUCUCUGGUCAGUUCUUUUAGCUCUAUUUGGGCUGCUUGGUAUCUGCCUCAAACAUGUGUAUUUCAGAGAGUUGCUCAGUGUGUAUGUACAAUUUGAGAUUUCCUCCUCUGGAUCUCUCUUUUACAGACAUUCUCCUACCAUUUUUCAGCUGUUGUGAUAGCUCCAAAUCAUUCUUCUUGCUCUUCAAGCUAGUAAGUCUGUAUGCCGCUGAGUUUUAACUAUCCCACUCACUACCAGUUGAGUUUUGCUUUCAAAUAAAAAGCCAUAAAACCAGAAAACUCCUCCAAUAGUAUUACCUUCUUCCAAUUGUCUAUUACACUCUAGGUUCUAAGUGUUUUGUCAGUCUCUAGUGCCUUCAUCUUUUUGUUUGUUUUGCUUUGUUUUUAUAAUUGUUCAAGGUUUAUAGUGUUGAUAUAUAGGUUAUGGAUGCUGCUUUGUUAGAAUAUAUACCUCCGUUUAUAGAAACAGAACUUUAGUUUUUCUUGCUCUGGAUAGUCUAAGCUAUAAGUUCAAUCGCUGAAUUUUAGUGGUUUGUUUUUCCUUUUUUGUUAUACAAACCACCAGAUUUUAUUCAAAGUGAUUAUGCCAUUUUGCAUUCCCACAAAUUCAGAAAGGGAACAAUGAUGGUAUAGGGUUGGGUGGUCAAUGCCAAGAUAUUAAGAAUAGGUGUAUUUUUCGGUAUAUUUGGUUGAAACUGAAGAGGAUUGGAGAGCUGAGUCUGACUGCGUGAUGAGCACAGCAUAGUGGUAUUGACUGCAGUGUUCAGAAGGAAAGAGCUUCCUUAGCCAAAGACCUCUUCUCUGUCUGGUACUUCUUCCUUUCCCAAUCCCAUCUACUGGAUAUUAGAUCCAUUGUUUUACUCCUCUUCCUCUGAAUUGCUUAAUUGACCCCACAUCCUUGGUUAGUAUCUCGGGACUCUCUUAUGAGAGCUGGGAGAAAUCAGUGAGAAAAUCAGGUCUCGUCAAGAUACCUGAAAACUUGAGCAAGCAGAAUACUUGGAUUUACACUUCUCUCACCAUACACAUUUUUUUCACCAGAGCUGAAUAUGUUGGUAUGUUCCAUAUUCCAGCUCAGUAUAUUCUGAGUUACAGGGAAAAAUAAAUCUUUCUUAGGGCUCUGUAUUUUCCCUCCAGUCAUUACAUCUCCUACUUGGAGAGGAAUAUAAUGAAAUAUCCCCCCCCUUUGACCCAUGGAUUUUUAACACUUUCCCAUUUGAGAAAACCUUAGGGUAAAGCAAGAGUUAACGCAGUUGAAGUGUGUUGGUGGAGACAGAUUAAACACCAAUCCAAGUAAACCUUAGGAAGAAAACAGGAGAUAAAAAGGUUGAUUAGUAUUUGUCAAAAAGUGGAAACAACCCAAGAGUCCAUCAAUGGAAUAAUAGAGUGGAAUACUACUCAGACAUUAAAAGAGUGAAAAUCUUGCCAUUCAACAACACAGAUGAACCUUGAGGGUAUUAUGCUAAGUGAAAUAAGUCAGAGAAAGACAAAUAACAUAAUGAUUUCAUCAUAUGUGUAAUCUGAAAAACAAAACAAGCAAACAACACAAAACUCAUUGAUACAGAGAUCAGAUUGGUGGUUGCUAAAGGCCAGGGUCUGGGAGUGGGCAAAAUGGGUGAAGGGGAUCAAGAAGUAAGGCCUUCCAGUUAUAAAAUAAGUCAUGGGGGUAUAAUGUAUAGCAUGGUGACUAUAGCAAAUAGUAUUGUGCUGCAAAUUUGAAAUUCCUACAAAAGUAAAUCUUGAAUGUUCUCAUCACAGGAAAAACAUUUUUUUCAUGACUUCCUAUGGUGAUAGAUAGUAACUUGAUUUACGGUGGUGAAUGUUUCACAAUGUAUACAAAUGUUGUACACCUAAACAAAUAUAAUGUAUGUUAAUUGCACUUCAAUAAAAAAUUAUCAAAGGGGAAUCAUAUGUAUGUUAUUGAUACCAGAAGAAUAACUGAAUUUUUUUUAAAGAUUUUAUUUAUUUACUUUACAGGGAAAGAAAGAGAGCAAGCACAGGCAGGGGGAGUGGGAGAGGGAAAAGCAGGCUCCCCGCUGAGCAGGGAGCCCGAUGCGGGACUCGAUCCCAGGACCCUGGGAUCAUGACCUGAGCCAAAGGCAGAUGCUUAACCAACUGAGCCACCCAGGGAUCCCAAGAAUAACUGAAUUAUACGAUGUGACAGCAACUGUGUUCACAGCAAGAAUGGUAAACUGGAAGUAUGAUUUAUCAUCAAGAUGUUCCAUUCAAUUAAAAAUAUUUUUAUAGUUACAUAUCUGCAUAUCUAUCUAUCAGACCUUAUAUGCAAUAACUUCUAAUAGAUUUAAGGCAAUAAGCAACAGAGUAGAGAAAGUCCCUCCCUGACUUCAUGAAACUUACAAUUGGAGGUGCAGUGUGAGGUGGGGUGAUUACCACUGAUAAGAUCAGUAAUAACACUAGGUUUCCCACUGCACUUCUCUCUCUUGCCUUCCACUCAUGCAUUUUCAUUUUCCAAUUCAAGGAAUAGUGACCGAGUCCUCACCUCUAGGAGUAACCCCUAGUUUUAGAAACGACUUCCAGAAAAAUUCUAGCAAAGAAAGCCCUAGACAAAGAGCCUAUGAAGUGUCCAUGGGCCACAGCCCAGGCUUCUGGACCAAUUCCGCACUGAAAGCAGCAGAGAAGAGCACUAGGCCUGGCUCUGCUCAGGGAUGAAAAAGAUACUUUGAGGAAGACAAUAAGGGAAAGUCAGAAAGUUCUUUGAAGCUUAACAAUUUAAUGUUUCAGUAUAAUAAUGUUGGAUUUCUGCAUGACGCUCCAUAGAAAUUCCUAGCGCCCUGUCCUCCCUAGGUUUGAGAGCCUUAAUGGGGUGAUGGUUGCUCUGCUUUGCAGUUUCUUUGGUGUUUUCUAGUCUUACAAGAUUUGCAAGUUCAAACUCCGGGAUCUACUGCAGUUCACAAACAAACAACAGAAAAACUAACCUUGCCCAUCCUUCUUCUUGGGCCAUUUCUGCCACCCAGAAACUGAGCUCACCUGGGAGACAGCUAGAAGAGCAUGUAGGAGGAAUUUCCAUAAGGGGCAUCUUGACAACUUUUAAUAGAACAAAAUGCAGGGCACCUGGGUGGCUCAGUAGGUUGAGCAUCCUACUCUUGAUUUCAGCUCAGGUCUUGAUCUCAGGGUUUAAGCAACAACAGCAACAAAAUGAGAUGCAUGCUUGUUGUUAAUAGUAUGAAGAGACAUCAGAAGAAGUGGCGUGAUAACAAGAUCCUAAGACCUAUAAGAAUAGGGGCUAACGUAGGGGAACUUCUUUGUUUAACUACCUCUUUUCCUGUGAAAGACAGCCGCACCCCAGAUUGACCCACUCAGAUGGCAGAUCCCACUCAAAGCUCUUUUUUUUAAACCAUGACUCCCUCCUAUGUGACUAGGUCUUAUGGGAUUAUGGUUGACUUCUUAAACACUAUCACCUCUACAAUAUCCUCCUUGUGCCCUUACCUCUACUGCGUCACUGUUUGGCAUGUAUCCUUAGACACCGCACAUUUCACCUGUCUCACUGUCACUGUCAUUACCACAAUUCACCUGUGCCACUUGACACAGAACUUUAGAAUUGUUGGGGUUCUCCAGAGAAACAGAACCUACACGAAGGGGUUUAUUAUAAACAACUGGCUCACAUGAUUAUGGGGGCUGAGAAGUUCCAGGAUCUGGUACCUGCAAAGUGCAGACCCAGGAAAGCUGGUGGUGUCAUUCAGUCCAAGACCAAAGGCUGCAGAGCCAGGGUGGGUGACGGUGUAAAUUCCAGUCCAAGGACAGGAGAGGACCUAUAUCCCAGCUCAAGCAGGCAAACAGGAAACAAAAGGGAUGAAUUCCUCUUUUCUCUUAGGCCCUCAACAAAUCAGAUGAUGCCCGACAACACUGGGGAGUGCAAUCUACUGAGUCCACAGACUCAAAUGCUAAUCUCAUCUAGAAACAACCACCUCCCAGACCCAGAAAUGUUUAAUGGGGGCAACUCGUGGCCAGUCAAGUUGAUAACACAAAAUUAAUCUUCACAAUGAUUUUCCUGCUUCAUUUUUAUUAUGCUAAGAUUAUAGGGAUUGUAUGUUAAAUAAUGUUAGAUAGCAUUGCCCAACAAAUGACACCAUCCACAGUUUCAUCUUCCCAGCAUCUUUAGCAGAAGUGUCAUUUUGGCCAUACUGAAUCCAAAUUCUGAAGGUCAGGCUCACUGUGCUGCCACUCCGUGAGAGCCACUGACUGUCCCACUGAGGGACUUGCAGAUUUGCAUAGCCCUUCCCGCUCACACACCUAAUAGGAUACACCCCUGCCAGAUUCACUUAGUCUAGCAAAUGGAUUCAGAACAGUAGAGACCGUGUUCCUAAGGCUGCUUCAGGGCAGCCUUCAGUGUGGGUUCCUCCUUGUGGUAAAGGAGGAAUUUUAUUCCUUCCACACGACAGCUCAUUUGUAGGGAAAAAAGGCUAGGCGCACUUGUGUGAAAUUAUAUUGCUCAGGUAAGCCUAGUGCCCCAAAGGACUGAUUACCUUGAAAGGACAGGAGAGCAGCAUCUAGGAGUGGACCGGAAAGGAAUGAGUGCAACCACUGGCUCAUCCGGCCCCCCGCACAAAGCCUUGUCACCUCUUAGGGAUCUCCCAUUGGUCUGCAGCCUCUCUCCUCCCUUCCUGCCCAAACCAGAGAUUUUAACUUUCAUUUUCACUUAGCACCUCCGGAUCUUGGUGGAGAUCGGCCCCUGGUUUGCUGAGAGAAUCCUGACCACAUUCCCUCCCUGGCCUGCCUCCACUCUUCUCCAAGGAGGCACGACUUCUCACCUGGUGUCUGAAGGAGAAGCUCCAGACAGCUCUGCAGAAGCUGAGGGAGGAGCAGCAGGAAGCGAACAUGUUGGAAGCUACCCUCAGAGAAGAGAGAACUUCCUGGAAGGAUGUGAAUCACAUCAUGGAAAGGAGUAAGCACUUGAGUCUGAAGAAACAAAACAUGUUUCUCAAGGAACAAAGGAAAGUGUCCCGAAUUCCUGAUCUGAAAGUGAUAAUAGAAGCGUUUAGAG